UUUCCGCGGGGGCGUCAAAGCUUACCAAAGAAUAUCAAACUCCGAAUGCCAGAAAGAUGAUGACCGGGAGUCAGACUGCACGAGAUAAGUUGGGUAGUCGAAAGGGAAAGAGCCCAGACCACCAGUUAAGGUCCCCAAAUACGUGUUAAGUGGAAAAGGAUGUGGGAUUUCGAAGACAACUAGGAUGUUGGCUCAGAAGCAGCCACACAUUCAAAGAGUGCGUAACAGCUCACUAGUCGAGAGGUCCUGCGCCGAAAAUGUCCGGGGCUAAAACACGAUACCGAAACUGUGGGAUGUAUCUAAGAUACAUCGGUAGAGGAGCAUUCCCCAGGCCGACGAAGCCGUACCGAUAAGGAACGGUGGAGGUACGGGAAGAGAGAAUGCCGGAAUGAGUAGCGAGAUGGAGGUGAGAAUCCUCCAGGCCGAAUAUCUAAGGUUUCCAGGGUAAAGCUGAUCUGCCCUGGGUAAGUCGGGGCCUAAGGCGAGGCUGAGAAGCGUAGUCGAUGGACAACUGGUGUAGAUUCCAGUACCUUACUAAAUCAGAAAUGUGGGGACACAUGGAGAAAGAGAGAGCCGGGAAUGAGAAGACCGGUGCAAGGGAGGUAGGAGUGUAGUAGGAAAAACCGCUACACAAUCUGAAGACCUGAUGCGGAUCGAAAAGAAGUAGAGAAGCUCUUGGACUCUGUGGCGAGAAAAGCCGCUAUAGUGUUUAGUAAGCCCGUACCGCAAACCGACACAGGUAGAUGAGGAGAGAAUCCUAAGGCCGGCGGGAGAAGCAUUGUUAAGGAACUCGGCAAAAUGACCCCGUAACUUCGGGAGAAGGGGUGCUGCAGAGAUGCAGCCGCAGAGAAAAGGCUCAAGCAACUGUUUAGCAAAAACACAGGUCUAUGCGAAACCGUAAGGUGAGGUAUAUGGGCUGACGCCUGCCCGGUGCUGGAAGGUUAAGAGGAGAGGUUAGCGCAAGCGAAGCUUUGAAUUGAAGCCCCAGUAAACGGCGGCCGUAACUAUAACGGUCCUAAGGUAGCGAAAUUCCUUGUCGGGUAAGUUCCGACCCGCACGAAAGGCGUAAUGAUUUGAGCGCUGUCUCAACAAUGCACCCGGUGAAAUUGAAGUACCAGUGAAGAUGCUGGUUACCCGCGCCAGGACGGAAAGACCCCAUGGAGCUUUACUCCAGCUUGAUACUGGGAUUCGGUAAUGUAUGCACAGGAUAGGUGGGAGACGAAGAAGAUAGAACUUCGGUUUUAUCAGAGUCGCUGUUGGGAUACCACCCUUAUGUUAUUGGAUUUCUAACCUUAGGCCGUAAGCCGGUCAAGGGACAAUGUCAGGUGGGGAGUUUGACUGGGGCGGUCGCCUCCGAAAGGGUAUCGGAGGCGCUCAAAGGUUCCCUCAGAAUGGUUGGAAACCAUUCGAAGAGUGCAAAGGCAGAAGGGAGCUUGACUGCGACACCGACGGGUGGAGCAGGUACGAAAGUAGGACUUAGUGAUCCGGUGGUAUAAAGUGGGAUUGCCAUCGCUCAACGGAUAAAAGCUACCCUGGGGAUAACAGGCUUAUCACUCCCAAGAGUUCACAUCGACGGAGUGGUUUGGCACCUCGAUGUCGGCUCAUCGCAUCCUGGGGCUGAAGUCGGUCCCAAG
rnacentral:rRNA from 1 species